CGAACGGGUGAGUAACGCGUGAGUAACCUGCCUUACACAAGGGGAUAGCCUUUGGAAACGAAGAGUAAUACCCUAUGAAACUAUCAAAUCGCAUGAAAAGAUAGUCAAAGUGUUAGCGGUGUAAGAUGGACUUGCGUCUGAUUAGCUAGUUGGUGAGAUAAAAGCCCACCAAGGCAACGAUCAGUAGCCGGCUUGAGAGAGUGUACGGCCACAUUGGGACUGAGACACGGCCCAG
rnacentral:rRNA from 1 species